rnacentral:tRNA from 1 species
AAUAGCUUAUAAAGAUUUUUGAUAAAAAUUUUUGGCUACGGCGGCUAUUA